rnacentral:rRNA from 1 species
GAUGAACGCUGGCGGCGUGCCUAACACAUGCAAGUCGAGCGAAAACACAGUAAGAUUGUUCUCUUACGGUUAGCGGGUGGCGGGCGAGUAAGAAGUAGAUCACCAUCUACUUAUUCUGGGAUAAUUACGGGAAAAAGCUGACACUAAUAGAUCAUAUAUCCUACGGCAUAGAUCAGUAGAGCUUCACGGCUUUGCCGAUACAAUUAGCUGGUUCCGCGUCGCAUUAGCUAGUUGGUAAGGUAACGGCUUACCAAGGCGACGAUGCGUAGCUGAGCUGAGAGGGUGAUCGGCCACACUGGAACUGAGACACGGUCCAGACUCCUACGGGAGGCAGCAGUAGGGAAUCUUCCGCAAUGGGCGAAAGCCUGACGGAGCAACGCCGCGUGAGUGAAGAAGGUCUUCGGAUCGUAAAGCUCUGUUGUUAGGAAAGAACAGAUGUAGGUUAAACUAUGGACGUCUUGACGGUACCUAAUCAGAAAGCCACGGCUAACUUCGUG